rnacentral:tRNA from 1 species
UGGCUAGUAGCUCAAUUGGCAGAGCAACCGCCUCCAAAACGGUAGGUUCUCGGUUCGAAUCCGGGCUAGCCAG